CCUACGGGUGGCAGCAGUGGGGAAUAUUGGACAAUGGGCGAAAGCCUGAUCCAGCCAUGCCGCGUGUGUGAAGAAGGCCUUCGGGUUGUAAAGCACUUUCAGUGGGGAAGAAAGCCUUGGGGCUAAUACCCUCGAGGAAGGACAUCACCCACAGAAGAAGCACCGGCUAACUCCGUGCCAGCAGCCGCGGUAAUACGGAGGGUGCGAGCGUUAAUCGGAAUUACUGGGCGUAAAGCGCGCGUAGGCGGUCUGAUAAGCCGGUUGUGAAAGCCCCGGGCUCAACCUGGGAACGGCAUCCGGAACUGUCAGGCUAGAGUGCAGGAGAGGAAGGUAGAAUUCCCGGUGUAGCGGUGAAAUGCGUAGAGAUCGGGAGGAAUACCAGUGGCGAAGGCGGCCUUCUGGACUGACACUGACGCUGAGGUGCGAAAGCGUGGGUAGCAAACAGGAUUAGACACCCUAGUAGUC
rnacentral:rRNA from 1 species